GUGGGGAAUAUUGGACAAUGGGCGAAAGCCUGAUCCAGCCAUGCCGCGUGUGUGAAGAAGGUCUUCGGAUUGUAAAGCACUUUAAGCGAGGAGGAGGCUACCGAGAUUAAUACUCUUGGAUAGUGGACGUUACUCGCAGAAUAAGCACCGGCUAACUCUGUGCCAGCAGCCGCGGUAAUACAGAGGGUGCAAGCGUUAAUCGGAUUUACUGGGCGUAAAGCGCGCGUAGGUGGUUUUGUAAGUUGGAGGUGAAAUCCCCGGGCUCAACCUGGGAACUGCCUCCAAAACUGCAUGACUAGAGUACGGUAGAGGGUAGUGGAAUUUCCUGUGUAGCGGUGAAAUGCGUAGAUAUAGGAAGGAACACCAGUGGCGAAGGCGACUACCUGGACUGAUACUGACACUGAGGUGCGAAAGCGUGGGGAGCAAACAGGAUUAGAUACCCGAGUAGUCC
rnacentral:rRNA from 1 species